GUGGCCCAAAUACACUCACAGAGAUUACACCCCACACAUAACGGCACACUGGAUAGGCUACAAAACAGCAGCAGUGCGGGGGAGCCUCGUCUAGGCGUAGUCACCAACUCAUACUACGACUUCCUCAUCAAUGAGGGCAGUUACAAGUUCUGGGCGGUGUUCCAGCUGGUGACAGUCGCCAUCCUCCUGUACUCCACGUUCGCCGCCAUCUACUACGCCAAGUACACGUUCCUCA